UACGGAAGGCAGCAGUGGGGAAUAUUGGACAAUGGGCGAAAGCCUGAUCCAGCAAUGCCGCGUGAGUGAUGAAGGCCUUAGGGUUGUAAAGCUCUUUUACCCGGGAUGAUAAUGACAGUACCGGGAGAAUAAGCUCCGGCUAACUCCGUGCCAGCAGCCGCGGUAAUACGGAGGGAGCUAGCGUUAUUCGGAAUUACUGGGCGUAAAGCGCACGUAGGCGGCUUUGUAAGUUAGAGGUGAAAGCCUGGAGCUCAACUCCAGAAUUGCCUUUUAAGACUGCAUCGCUCGAAUCCAGGAGAGGUGAGUGGAAUUCCGGAGUGUAGAGGUGAAAUUCGUAGAUAUUCGGAAGAACACCAGUGGCGAAGGCGGCUCACUGGACUGGUAUUGACGCUGAGGUGCGAAAGCGUGGGGAGCAAACGAGGGAUUAGGAU
rnacentral:rRNA from 1 species